rnacentral:rRNA from 1 species
GACGUAGGGGGCGAGCGUUACCCGGAAUUACUGGGCGUAAAGGGAGCGUAGGCGGGAAAAGAAGUCCGGUGUGAAAGACCCUGGCUCAACCAGGGAGACGCGCCGGAAACCAAAUUUCUUGAGGGUAGCAGAGGAAGAGGGAAUUACCGGUGUAGGGGUGAAAUCCGUAGAGACCGGUAAGAAGGCCGGUGGCGAAGGCGCUCUUCUGGGCUAUCACUGACGCUGAGGCUCGAAAGCCAGGGGAGCAAACCGGAUUAGAUACCCGGGUAGUCCUGGCCGUAAACGAUGCUCACUAGGUGUGGGGUACAGAGCGUGCUCUGCGCUGAAGCUAACGCAAUAAGUGAGCCGCCUGGGGAGUACGUCCGCAAGGAUG